UCAAUUAAUUGUUUCUAAUUAUUUUCUCUUCUUCACUUUUAGAUGGUUACAUUUCUCCUCACUCAUUAACAUUAACUUACCAUCUGACUUGCUUUGGCCCGUGGAAUGUGAUCAGAAUAUAUGCUAUGCCUGAGUUGAUGCUUUAUGAGUCAUUGCCUUCUUCCACCAUUUUUCUUUCCUUUCCCCAACAAAGAUUAUUUGCCUCACAUAAGGGCUGCUCCCUUAGCUUGGAACCCAGGAUUAAGAAGGUAUACAGUAUAGAACCAUAGCCAAACCAAAGAUGACAGGUUUUGUGAUUCAGGAGGUUUGAAAUGGACCGCAGAAAUGUCUACUUCAGCACAUCUCCAUACCUAGGAUCCUAAUGACAGUGACCCAUGGGCCAUGCUUAAGAAACACAACUUUAGUUUUUCGACUAUAACUCACCGGGAGGAACGUUAUCAGGCGCCAAAAGCCUUUUAAAACAGAGAACUCUGCUCGUGGAGUCACAUAUUCUGUUUUAUCUGUACAAGCCACCCAAGUCAUUUCACAGACCAGCCGAAAGAAGCCUCCCUGGGGAUGAGCUAACGAGGAGGAUUAGAUACAACUGUUCUCUGGCCAGGUGUCAAGACCCUGUUGGCAGAGGAACGGCAGAGACAUCUUGUGAAUUAUCUCCCAGUCACUGAUGCAAACCACUCAGAAUAAAUCAGGAUUGAAGAUUGAUUUCUACAAAAUUGCUUUAUUACUCAGUUCUGGAAGCUGGGAAGUCUAAGAUCAAAGCAGAAUUGGUGUCUGGUGAAGGGCCCACUUUCUCGCAGAAGGCAACUUUUGCUGUGUCCUCAUCUGGUGGAAGAGAGAGGUCUUUGUGGGGCCUCUUUUAUAAGGGCACUAAUCCCUUACAAUCCUCAUGACCCAGUCAUCUCCCAAAGGCCCCACCUCCUAUUACCAUCAUCUUGGGAGUUAGGAUUUCAACAUAUACAUUUUGCAGGAAACAAAUAUUCAGACUGUAGCAUUCCAAGCUUGGUCCCCCCAGAUUCACAUCCUUCUCCCACGCAAAAUACUUCCAUUCCAUCCCAAUAGCCUCAAAAGUUCUAAGUAGUUUCAGCAUCAACUCAAAAGUCUAAAGUCUCAUUUAAAUAUCAUGUAAAGAAGAUAUGAGUGAGACUCAAAAUAGGAUUCACCUUGAGGUAAACUGCUCUCCAGCUGUGAACCUGUGAAACACAAUUCCAGCAUCCUCUAAUUCAUAGAAACCUCCAGGAGGAUAGGAUUGAUUCUCACUUCCAUGUUUCCUUCACAGAGUUAGCAAGUUGCACAGGCAAAUCAAAGUUGAUCCAAAAGCAUUUGGUUUAUUUGUACCGUUCAAAAAUGUGCCAGUGGGAGAAAAACAAAACAUGCCAAAAUAUGCCUGUAAGCUUGCAGAUUACUGUUUUCUCUUUUACCCCUAAUAUGCAUUUACAAUCAUGAUCGUGGAAUUUUGAUUACUGUCUUCUCCUCAAACACUUCUGACUUGCCUGCCCAGUCCCCUUUCUCAUGGCCCCAAGAAUUGUCUCUUCCCCUUUCUCAUUUCUGGAUCAACUGUCUUUCUCACCAGUGAUUUUUCUUCUCAUUGACCAUGACAUAUUUGUCUAAAUCUAUUGAUUUGAUGAAGCCUACUUCUACCAGUAAAAUAUAACAUACAAAAUAUCUUCAAAUGAAUGAUCAAAUGCAGAAACUUUUACUAUAAAGGCCAUUUGCUAUAUAUUUACAUAUAUAUAAUAUAUUUCCAAUUUGUUGCAUUAAGAUAUGGAAAACAUUAAUUACAUACACAAAUUAAAUAUAUAAAUUAUAUACAUAAUACAUAAUCACAUACAUAAAUUAACAAUUUUUCCAUAUUUUAAUGCAAUAAAUUCAAGCUAGCUUUAUGGCGAGUCCUCUGAUGUAUAGCCUUUAUCUUUUCUUUUGCCUGAGGUGAAGCCUCCCAUCGAGAAGCCCUUCCCAUUUACAAAAAUUUGAUGUCACACUUCCCAUGGUUUCAGUCUCACAUAUGAGUACUUAACCAGGUGUAUUAUUCAGAGUUGCAAAGGUAUUCAUCUGAAAGAAAAAUAAAACUACCUAAUGCAAUUACUAUAUAUGUUAUAUAUAAUAAUAUAAUUAUUUUAAAAGUAGAGGAAAGGAAUUGAAACAGUGUGGGAGGUAGUAAAAGUAAGUCUAAUUGCUCAUCUUUUAUAGUACAAUUCAAAGAAAAAUUAUAAAUUUAUACAUCAAAUAAUAGGGCUACAUGUAAGCCUGUUUUUUACAAGUGUGGUGAUAACCACCAGAUCAACAAAGAUAGUUAAAACAGUUAAAGUUUCAAAAUAGGAAUGGGCAUGAGAGUGGGAAAGUGAGAUGGGGAGAUAAUUAGUUUACAUUUUACACCCUUCUGUACUAUUUGAACUCAAGAAAAAAAAAAAGUACAUAUAAUUAUUUUAUUUUAUGAUACCCCCAAAAUUAAAGAAAUGUGUACUCCCUGUAACUAAACUUUGUAUUACCUGAAAAUAAAUGUGCACUUACUUGUCAAGUUCAUGCUGACUUCAUUAAUGAUGUAAAGUCUGUCGUUGAAUUUGCCUUCACUCUCACCAAAUUGGUGGAAGGUCACCAAAUCUGUCGUUUCUGAUACACAGAGGAAAGAUGAACCUUUCCACCAGCUUGUCUUGAAUAUAUUUCCCUACCUGGCUUUUG
rnacentral:lncRNA from 10 species